rnacentral:lncRNA from 1 species
AUGGUGAACACUCAGAUCUUAAGUUGGUGGCCAGGAAACUGGACUGGAGAGUGUUCCCCUGCCCGCUGAGCUGAGGCUUGUGUUGGGGGCAGGGUGUGUCUGUCUCUCAUACAGCGCACUGAGAUGGGCUGAGUUUACACAAAGUCCACCGAGAUACCUUCUGUUUGGUUAAUCCAGUUAGAACUUAGGUUUUCUCUCUCUUUCAAAUUGGAGGCUGUGUGAGAGAAUCAUAAUUGAAUCUGCUGCCUUCUUCCUGUAUCCCAGCUCUCUUUUUGGGUCCUGAUCAGUCCCUACCAGGUCAAGAGUGUGACCACGGCCCUGCUUUACCUUCUCCCCGUCUCCCAGGCUCCUCUUUGCUGUCCCAUCUUGGGGCCUUCGAGGGGACCGUGGAUAGGGUCACAGUGACCAGCAGCCAUGCUGCGUUCAUCUGUGAGUUAGCUGGCCCAAAUCAAACCCUGCUGAUCUAGACGUUUACAAUGUUUGA